GAUGAACGCUGGCGGCAUGCCUAAUACAUGCAAGUCGAACGUAGUCUUUAGGAAGCUUGCUUCCAAAGAGACUUAGUGGCGAACGGGUGAGUAACACGUAGGUAACCUGCCCAUGUGCCCGGGAUAACUGCUGGAAACGGUAGCUAAAACCGGAUAGGUAUGAGGGAGGCAUCUUCCUCAUAUUAAAGCACCUUCGGGUGUGAACAUGGAUGGACCUGCGGCGCAUUAGCUGGUUGGUGAGGUAACGGCCCACCAAGGCGAUGAUGCGUAGCCGACCUGAGAGGGUGAACGGCCACAUUGGGACUGAGACACGGCCCAAACUCCUACGGGAGGCAGCAGUAGGGAAUUUUCGUCAAUGGGGGGAACCCUGAAUGAGCAAUGCCGCGUGUGUGAAGAAGGUCUUCGGAUCGUAAAGCACUGUUGUAAGUGAAGAAUGCCACAUAGAGGAAAUGCUAUGUGGGUGACGGUAGCUUACCAGAAAGCCACGGCUAACUACGUGCCAGCAGCCGCGGUAAUACGUAGGUGGCAAGCGUUAUCCGGAAUCAUUGGGCGUAAAGGGUGCGUAGGUGGCACGAUAAGUCUGAAGUAAAAGGCAACAGCUCAACUGUUGUAUGCUUUGGAAACUGUCGAGCUAGAGUGCAGAAGAGGGCGAUGGAAUUCCAUGUGUAGCGGUAAAAUGCGUAGAUAUAUGGAGGAACACCAGUGGCGAAGGCGGUCGCCUGGUCUGUAACUGACACUGAUGCACGAAAGCGUGGU
rnacentral:rRNA from 1 species